AUUGAACGCUGGCGGCAUGCUUUGCACAUGCAAGUCGAACGGCAGCGCGGGCUUCGGCCUGGCGGCGAGUGGCGAACGGGUGAGUAAUGCAUCGGAACGUGCCCAGUAGUGGGGGAUAGCCCGGCGAAAGCCGGAUUAAUACCGCAUACGACCUGAGGGUGAAAGCGGGGGACCGAAAGGCCUCGCGCUAUUGGAGCGGCCGAUGUCGGAUUAGCUAGUUGGUGGGGUAAAGGCUUACCAAGGCGACGAUCCGUAGCUGGUCUGAGAGGACGACCAGCCACACUGGGACUUAGACACGGCCCAGACUCCUACGGGAGGCAGCAGUGGGGAAUUUUGGACAAUGGGGGCAAACCUGAUCCAGCCAUGCCGCGUGCGGGAAGAAGGCCUUCGGGUUGUAAACCGCUUUUGUUCGGGAAGAAAUCCUCUUGGCUAAUACCCCGGGGGGAUGACGGUACCGGAAGAAUAAGCACCGGCUAACUACGUG
rnacentral:rRNA from 1 species